CGCAUACGAUACGGGGGCUUGAGUGAAUCAGGCUGAGAUGGCAGCAUAUUCCGCUGCGGACCGUUAAUCUGAUCUGGAUAAUGCCAGCGUAGAGAAUCGAAUGUCCGGGAUA
rnacentral:ncRNA from 1 species